CUCUGGUACAAGUGCAUUGACGCACGCACCGCCUUGCUAGUGUAUUACUGCUUUGUACGAAUAUUUGUGGUAUUGUUUACUGUACGUGACAUCGCAAAUACUGUUUUAUCGUUACGUAGUUGCUUCUUAGAGCUCGAACUGUACUAGUCUUAAUCUUGGAGUUAGAGGUAAAGACUUAUUGCUGUCUGGUGACAUAACCAUAGUUUGAAACUCCAGAAUCUCAAAGCAUAUACAAUGGACACCAAAGCGGCUAUCUUGAUAGUGGUUGUGCUGCUAGCCGUAACCUCAGCCUCGCCGUUGCGUGGGUCUAACAGAAUGGCCUGUAAACAGCAGUGCAUGGAGACCUUUCAUACGUGUAUUAGUCCUUGCCGAAAGUCGCCAAUGCAUAUGCCGCAAAAUUGCGAGGGUAGGGCUUGCCACGAGGCAAUGGGGCUGUGUCUUCGCAGCGUGUGUCACCUCAAAUGGCAUUCCGGUGUUUAACAUUAUGUAACCCGCCAUUAUUCUGAACUCAAUAAACGAAAGCUUAAUUGUA